rnacentral:rRNA from 1 species
UACAGAGGCCUCGAGCGUUAGGCGGAAUCACUGGGCUUAAAGCGUGUGUAGGCGGAUUUCUAAGUACCUUGUGAAAUCCCACGGCUCAACCGUGGAACUGCUUGGUAUACUGGUUAUCUUGAGCCACCUAGGGGCCUGCGGAACAGAUGGUGGAGCGGUGAAAUGCGUAGAUAUCAUCUGGAACGCCAACGGUGAAAACAGCAGGCUGGGGGUGUGCUGACGCUGAGACGCGAAAGCGUGGGGAGCGAACAGG